rnacentral:rRNA from 1 species
ACGCGUGGAACCUUACCAGGUCUUGACAUCCCAUUGACCGCUAUGGAGACAUAGCUUUCCCUUCGGGGACAGUGGUGACAGGUGGUGCAUGGUUGUCGUCAGCUCGUGUCGUGAGAUGUUGGGUUAAGUCCCGCAACGAGCGCAACCCUUGUUCUUAGUUGCCAUCAUUUAGUUGGGCACUCUAAGGAGACUGCCGGUGACAAACCGGAGGAAGGUGGGGAUGACGUCAAAUCAUCAUGCCCCUUAUGACCUGGGCUACACACGUGCUACAAUGGAUGGUACAAAGGGCAGCAAAGCGGCGACGCCUAGCAAAUCCCAUAAAACCAUUCUCAGUUCGGAUUGUAGGCUGCAACUCGCCUACAUGAAGCUGGAAUCGCUAGUAAUCGCGGAUCAGCAUGCCGCGGUGAAUACGUUCCCGGGCCUUGCACACACCGCCCGU